rnacentral:rRNA from 1 species
UACGUAGGGGCUAGCGUUAUCCGGAAUUACUGGGCGUAAAGGGUGCGUAGGUGGUUUCUUAAGUCAGAGGUGAAAGGCUACGGCUCAACCGUAGUAAGCCUUUGAAACUGGGAAACUUGAGUGCAGGAGAGGAGAGUGGAAUUCCUAGUGUAGCGGUGAAAUGCAUAGAUAUUAGGAGGAACACCAGUUGCGAAGGCGGCUCUCUGGACUGUAACUGACACUGAGGCACGAAAGCGUGGGGAGCAAAACAGGAUUAGAUACCCCCGUAGUCCCUGAGCGGG